CUCCAUUCCGAUUUUUUUGAUUCUUCUGCUUGUACAUAACUUCUUUUUUCCUUUGUUGAUUGUACAUAUAUUUUUUGGCUACUUCAUCCUUUUAAUGAAGUAGUCUUUUCUCAAUAAAUUUUUCCUUACCUAUUAAAAUUUUUUUUCGUUAGAUUACUAUUUAAGACUUUAUAUUAAUUUUACCAAUUGAUAUAUAAAUUUUAGAGAAUCAUUCUCAACAUCCCCAAUUUGGGUUUGUCUCUUUACCUACACUUUCUAUUCCCCAAUUUUCUUUGCUAUAAAUCAAUUCCACCAGCCCAUUGGUUACUUUGACUGCAUCACCCAAUAUACUUGUCGAUUCAUUCAUAGAUCUAAUUGUACAUUAUUGCCUCUUCUUUUGUCCAUAUCUAAAAUUGAAAGAGAUCAAGAAACUCAAACUGCAAUUACAAGCCUUGGAGCAGAAACUGCGGCAGGGAUGAAGUACUACAGAGAGACCUUGAUAACUACCGAUGAAGGGAUAAAUCUGUCCAACCAUAUUCCCCACCACCUCAAAUCUAUCCAACACCACCAACUCUUUCACCAUCACCUUCACCAUACCUAUUUUCACAACCACCUGCCCAAAACAUUUAUAUACGUUCCUCCCAUUAACUUUCAACCCAUCCCUACACAAUUAAGCCAACACCAUGAGCCUCGUAAAACCCAUGGGACACAAAAAAACCCGCCUACCAGAGAAAAAACCAAACAACAUCAUCAACCUUAGAAAGCCCUUGAGCCACAAAGAACCCACCUACCAGAGCCACAAACAACCUAACUACCAGAACCACAAAAAACCUUUCCACCAAACUUGUUGACCCCUCAACCUCUAAAGCCUCGACACGUUAUUUCCAAAUCAAAGAGACUUGAGACUAGGUGAAAUUUAUGUUCUUUUUGCAUUGAUGCAAAGACCUUCACGUUGGUCCUUGAGAAAAGCAGAGCAGAUCCUUAUUCAAUCCAAGAGCGCAGGGGAAGUUAUAAGGGUCCCAUGUGGUUUGGCUGGUCCGGUCUAGAUCGGAUAGUGGCCAAACAUUUCAGAAUUGCACUCUUGGGAUUUGGGCCAGAAAAGCUUUUUACAGGUUGGAAAGCUCCUGCUUUGAAUGCUUAUGGUCAAUUUUUAUAUUUGGGGGAAAUUCUGUAAUUUCUGCAAAUCCUGCGAAUCAAGGGUAUUUUGGUGAUUUGGUUGAGUCUAGAAUCUUCUAGGAGAUCCUAAGUAUCUUAGGUUUAUUUUCUUUCAGUCUGUAUCUAUUAGGUUUUAUUUAAGUAGUUAAACUAGUAGACCUAAUAGAACUAGGAGUCCUAUUACUACUAGUACAAGCAUGAAUCUUUAUAUAUUGUGCUCAAUGUAUUCAAAGGAAGUAGAAUGAGUUGAUUAAUAAAAUUGAGUGUUUUGAGCAAAAGGCCACACAUUGGCCUUUUUCUUUCCCCUUCUCUCUCCUCUUUCUUUUCUUCAUCUUCUUUUUCUUAAGUUACUGUUUAUGGUACUGUUCACACAGCCCUGAACAACCCUAAUUUCUCUCUAAUGCUUCCUUUUUCCUAACCCUAAACCCACCAUGCAUGGACUCAAGGCCUACUGGCCUAGUAGUGUUGACUUGGGUUUUGGCCCAUCAGGUUCUAAAUCUUGUGAAGCCCAAACACAAUAUUUUCUGCAAGGACAAACCUAUAGGGAUAUAUCUUUACCUAUUUCCUCACACACUUGUGUAGAGUAGGGAGGGGGAUGCCUCAAUCGUUACAAUAGAACACAUGAGGCUUUCCAUGGGUUUUUCUUGAGUUUUCUCGGCAAAAGUUACAGCAAUAUCACAAGUUCUUUGGGGAUGUCAUCAGAUUGGUUCAUUGAGUUAAAAGGAGGGCAAUGCCUGCAUAUUCUGACAGAAUUCAAACAACCGACACCUCUCAAAAAUAAUGAGAAACCUGUUGAUGAGAAUUGGAAGCUCUUGGGAGUGGCACAAAAAAGACCGAGAAGAGGGUGAAUGGUGCAAUGACACUGGAUCGAAAACUGAGGUUUAUUAACCAACACCACAUGCACUUUGUUGGAACUAAAAGAAAAAAUGUUAUUCAAUCAUUUCUGAGGAGUUGGAAUCAAGUGGGAUAGGCGAAUUUGGACAACUUUCGGUUCCGACAAAUGAACAUGAACUUAUUUCUGUCUUGGAAUGUCAGGGCCCUAAAUCAUGGGUAUAAAAGAUCAGGAUCAGAAACUUGCUCAAGCUUUGGAAGGCAGAUAUCAUUUGUUUCGAGACACAAAGGUGGAAUUAUUUUCAAGAUUAAUGAUAAGAAGCCUUCGGGGUUGUCAUCACAUUGAUUGGUUAUAUUCUGUUGGGGCCUCAGGUGGAAUUUUAUUAAUGUGGGAUGAGAGUUGUUGAGAAAGUGGAUGAGGUAGUGGGUAAUUUUUCUGUUUCUUGCAAAUUUAAGAAUGUGUCGGAUCAUUUUGAAUAGGCAUUAACAGGAGUUUAUGAGCCAAACAUUGAUGGUGAGAGGGAUAAUAUGUGGGGGCUGAAUUAUCUGGUCUUAUUGGUAGGUGGGAUGUUCCUUGGUGUGUAGGUGCAGAUUUCAAUGUCAUCAGAUUUCCUACAGAUAGGUUAGGGGCCAGACUCUUACACUUCAGCAAUGCAUAGCUUUUCAGAUUCUAUUUCUACUCAUGGUUUGAUUGAUAUCCCUCUUGGAGGCAAUUUCACUUGGUCAAAUAAUCAUGAGUUAGCAUC